AACGAACGCUGGCGGCAUGCCUAACACAUGCAAGUCGAACGAGACCUUCGGGUCUAGUGGCGCACGGGUGCGUAACGCGUGGGAACCUGCCUUUAGGUUCGGAAUAACUCAGAGAAAUUUGAGCUAAUACCGGAUGAUGUCUUCGGACCAAAGAUUUAUCGCCUUUAGAUGGGCCCGCGUUGGAUUAGCUAGUUGGUGGGGUAUAGGCCUACCAAGGCGACGAUCCAUAGCUGGUCUGAGAGGAUGAUCAGCCACACUGGGACUGAGACACGGCCCAGACUCCUACGGGAGGCAGCAGUGGGGAAUAUUGGACAAUGGGCGAAAGCCUGAUCCAGCAAUGCCGCGUGAGUGAUGAAGGCCUUAGGGUUGUAAAGCUCUUUUACCCGAGAUGAUAAUGACAGUAUCGGGAGAAUAAGCUCCGGCUAACUCCGUG
rnacentral:rRNA from 1 species